rnacentral:rRNA from 1 species
AUGUGCGGUGGAGCGUCCCUAGCGGAUGUCAAGGUUCCCACGGUGACACGAAAGGUGAAGAAGACGGCUCUAUGGGCCGAGAAGAACAAGCCUCGGUGUGGCAGCAGCGGGGACCGGCGUUUCACAGGGCUCGGUGAGCACGGGGGAGUCGACCUAGACGACAACAAGGACUACGAGGCCGACUUCAAAGAGUUCGAGGCCAACUCUGGGGAGUCCGACCUGGAGCUCGGGCGUAAUGACGAUGACGAGGCCGUCGAGAUCAAGCCCUUCAUCGCCGUCAAGAGGUCCCUCUCCCAAGAUGACUUAAGCACCAUGACUACUGCAGGUUUUGAUGGUACUUCAGCCAAAAGGAAGAGAAAGAACCAAUUCAGGGGUAUCCGUCAGCGCCCCUAGGGUAAGUGGGCUGCUGAAAUCAGAGAUCCUAGCAAGGGUGCACGUGUCUGGCUUGGUACUUUCAAUAGUGCCGAAGAAGCUGCAAGAGCUUAUGAUGUUGAAGCACGCAGGAUCCGUGGCAACAAGGCCAAGGUUAACUUUCCAAAGGAACCAAUAGUUCCUCAGAAGCGUCGUGCUCGCCCUACUACUCUUAAAGCACCCAAGCUAUGCGUGGCACAAGAGCCCUCUGUCAUGCCAUCAGUGAACAACCUCGCCAGCCCAAAUGCUUCCGUGUACCCAUUUACUGACUUCGCAUCAAACCAGCCACUUGAUCUGCCUGACAAUGUGUCAUUUGUUCCUACAAUGAACUCUACUUCCCCUGUUGAAGCCUUUAUUAUGAAUCUUUACUCUGACCAGGGAAGCAACUCCUUUGGCUGCUCUGAGUUGGACUAUGAUUAUGACACCAAGACUCCAGAUAUACCUUCCAUUGCUCCCAUUUCUACCAUAGUUGAAGGAGCGGAAUCUACACUUGUCCAAGGUAACACCUACAACUCAGUGGUGAUUGCUGAAGGAGCUGAAUCUGCACUUGCCCAGAAGAACAAGGAUGUCGAUUUCGAGGCCUUGACGAGGUUUCUUAUGGAUGAUGGCAUGGACGAGCCGAUUGAUAGCCUUCUGAUUUUUUAUGUGCCUCAGGAUGUCGUUGGCAACAUGGACCUCUAGAGCUUCGAUGACAUGCCCAUGUGUGGCAAAAUUUUCUGA